rnacentral:sRNA from 1 species
ACCCUUUUUAAAUGCAUUCCAGAGAGUUUGCAAAGAGGAUUUUAAAACACAAAGCCGGGCGGAUCGACACGGCCGGGCUUUGUAUGCCUCUUUGCGCAAAAAGCAAAGAGGUUUUUUUAUA